CUGAAAUCAUGACCCCAGCCGAAAUGAAGAGUGGGACACUCAACUGACAGAGCCACCCAGGCAUCCUUGGAAUUGAAUCUUGAACAGAGGGACUCAGGAACACAAGAAACACUGUUUACUUUUUCAGAUUUAGAGGUGACCAUGCUUUGGGAUUUUCAUAGUUUGAGUUAAUUCCUCUGGGCUCCGCCACCCAGUGAGUUAAACAGGACAAGAUUCCACCCAGAGGAUUGUGGUUCUGGGAAUGUAAGCAGCUUGUUUUCAUGAGAUCUGCACCCUGACCUGGCCUACUGUUAGGAGCGGUUGUGUUGGUGGUUGUGUGUUUUUAGUCGUUUUUUCUAUCUUAUACAGUUAUUUGUAUAUAAACAUUUUUUAAAGUAAAUAUUUUAUGGGGAUGUUUUGUUUAUCCAAAGAAAAAUUAAAACUAUUUUGAAGUAAUUACAUGUGUCAUAUUUUUCUCUUUCAAAAUAAAUGAAAGUAUUAAUUCAUAGUUUCUGGAAAGAAAAUGAAAACCCCAGAAAUGGCUAUGUUCUUAAUGUUUGAAAAUAGGGUAAUAUUAUUCUCUGUUCGAAUGGAGUCUUCCAAGGAAUUACUAGAGUCUCAUACACAAUCGACUUAAAUGCAUUCUUUAUCUUUAAAAGGAAGCAGAAUAGAAUCAUUGAGUAAGUCACAUGUGUUCGCAGCCUUGUCUGGUGUAAUCAUAUCCUACACAAACACAUUAUUCUCUAGUCAGAAGGGUAAGGGGAAUUUGAAACAGGACCUGCCCUUGUGGAGCCCUUUUUUUAUUUAAAGAAUAGUGCAGUGAGAGACCACAUAGUAGAAGAUAACAGAAAAUAUCUUCCACGCCUUCCUCAACCUGUAUACUUUCUCAUUCUCUUUUGUUCUCUAAGGACAUCUGUGGUAAUGAUUAUUCUGUAAAACUCAUAGGUAUAUAGCAGAAGGCAUAUCAUAUUUCAUUUAUUAUUUUGUCUACUAUAAUUAUUGCUCUUUUACAUCAUGCCAUUGUACGUCUUUAAAAUAUUUUGUUUAUAAAAGAUAUGAAAGGAUAUUACAGAAAAUUUAUUGGUUAACUAUAGAUAUCUAAAGAGUAAAUGUUUUAACUCUGAAUUUAAUUAUAUCUUAGGAAGUCUAAUAGAUUUGUAUUAAGCUACAUUUUAAAGAGAUAAAUGUGGUUAAAAGAGAUGCUAAAAUCUGAAUUUAAUUUUCCUUUUUUAUAUUAAUUGCAGUGGAUUUUUAAAAAUGUCCUAACGUAGGCAUUUAAAAGAUAUUCUUAAUUACAAACAACAGUGACGUGAGAUUUUGGAGGCUUUAAAAUAGGUCCAUUAUUUGAAAUGUUUUCAACAUUUUGAUGGCUGGUUUGCUGUCUAUAUAAUGGUUGCAAUUAAAAAUUAAACUUUAAAAAAAAUUAAACUUUUUAAAAAAAAUAAUUUUUUUUUAAAAUUCAAGUUUUUACUUCUUAUUAAGGGUUUUUAUAUUGCCUCCCAGUUUUCCCCUAGGUUAAUCCUUUGGGAAUUUUGAAAUUUACAUCUGAAGGGGUUUUUUUUAAUCUUUUUAUUAUAAAAAUUUUGAACACAUACAAAAAUAGAACAAAUAGUAUGAUGAGCCCCCAAGUUAUAUUUGAGCUUUAAGUGAUAUAUUAGUAUAAGUGCUACAUUUAUUAAUACAACAGAUGUUCAGGAACUCCAGGAAUGGUUGUGGCUUAAUACACACUUGAAAGAAUCUGUAUAAAUCAAAUUUUUAAAAAUAUCCCACCAUUUCCCAACCUAUGACAGACUGUAUUUCAAAUGUUUGUUGAUGGUCAGCCAAUUUUUGGACCUACAAAUAUGAUUCUCAUAGAAAUAAUCUUAAAAUGGCUAUUUGCUUUUCAGGCCAACUCUCAGAAAUUUGUCUAAUUCACAUUAAGGGAAACCCAUACAUCUCUUUUAACAUCAUUUCAAUGAGAAAAUGCUUCCUUUACAAUUGGAAUACUACGGAACAACUGCCACCCAUCUUCUCUUCUACUAAGUAUGGGGGAUAGGAAAGUGGGGAGUCAAGCUCUGGUGAUGGAGAUUCAUUUCCAUGAUGGGCUCUUGAUUCUCUCAGAAAAACCAGUGGGAACUCUGAGAAGACAGUAGGAGGGUGGGGGGAUGGGAGUGCACUCUGUACACACCAUUCUGAAAUUAUUUACCUUUUCUUCAGCUAGUGGAGUUUUUGGGGUUUUUUUUAACGCCUAUUAAAAAAAAGAGGGGUGCCUGGGUGGCUCAGUUGGUCAACUUCCGAUUCUUGAUUUUAGCUCAGGUCAUGAUCUCAGGGUCAUGUGAUCAAGCCCCAUGUUGGGCUCUGCCCUAAGUGGGGAGUCUGCCUGGGAUUCUCUCUCUCCCUCUCCCUCUCCCUCUCCCCCCCCCCACACGGAGCACACAUCCUCUAAAAAUAAAUAAAAAACACUUGCUUAAAAAAAUAAAAAAGAAACCUUCCUUUGUAAAACAAAUACCGUGUCAUAUCUGAAGUUUACAUUUUACAGACUUUUAAAUUAGGCUUCUGAUUUUUUUCUUUAAGUUUCUGACACAGGGGAAAAUUAUUUUCACUGCUGAGAUAUGCCUAAGACAACAAGAAAAGAUUCCUGACUACUAAAACAGAAAAUUAGAAAAUAAACAUAAGUAUUAAAUUGCCAAUAAGCUAAAAUCAGACGGAUGCAAUAAUGUUUAUAGUGAACCUCUAAGUAGUAUUAAGCUUUUAGAGUAUCUGGGAAUGACAAAGCAGAAAGAUGGGUUCUGAUGCUUUUGUCAUGCCACCCUAUACUCACACUGUUCCAAAUUGACCUUAAAUUCUUAUUUUUCCAAAACCCUUCUCUAAGCAAAAACUUGGAGCCAUAGAACUGUGCUCAUCAACUUCUCGUUUUCAUUCUGUAUGCAAUCUGAAAUAAAAUGGGAACUAGAGCAAGUGCUUUACGGGUAGAGCAACAGGGUCAAGAUCCAGAAAGCAUGGAAUAGCUGAAAACAAGGUCAGCUCAGAGCUAGGAACUCCAAACAUUGCAAUGCUUUCUGAGCCUGAGACAGUCGCUUAACCUCCCAAGGUAGUAAAAUGAAUGGUUGAAAUGAAUCAGCCCUAUUUCUUCUAGUUCUAAAAGUCCCAUCUGUGAAUGGCCAUCCUUGAUCCUGUAAAGUCUUUAAAUGCUAGUGUGGUGUGACUGUUACCCUCUCAGCUAAGUUAGGUUCCAUGUGUAUGCUUGUGAAUGCUUGACGGCAGGCCCCCAAAGCAGGCUAGCCUCGUUUUCCAGAGGGAGUAAUGCCAGUACUCCUAAGUACAAAAAGAACCAGGCAUACUUUGUGAUGAGUCCACCGAAGGUCCCACAGCGUGAUCUACCAUAGCUUCACUCCUGACCCAUGCUCCCAUCAGAUAAAGGGCCUACUGUGUGUUAAGUACUGUAGUAAUGAGGUAACUUACAUGUUACUGUAUUAAUCCCUACAGUAACCCUAAGAAUGGGGGUAUUGUCAUUUUACAGAUGAGGAAGUUUGCUAAGAACCUUAGUGAUGGAGCUAGUGAAUGGUAAAACUACAUUCAACCUGCUAUAAGGGGGAUGAACUACAGAUCACUUAUUUAAACCCACCCGCUAAACUAGCUAAGGAGAGAAAACCAAGAAGGCUUCUCUUAAACUCACCAGCAGUUUUAAGAACUCUGGCUCCUCUGCCUAGGGGACCUGGCCCUCACAACUCCCAGAGUUAGCUCAUUUUCUCAAGAUCCACUCCCUGCCCCCCCAUACACACACAUACACACACAAGUCCAGGGUAAGCCUAUCCCCUCCCAGCCCUUCUGAAGUCUCAGGAGAGUGGCCUGCUGCUUUCACAAGGCUCCUGCAGCUAGAAACCCAGUCCUCUCUAACCCAGAUGAGGAAACUCUGGACUUGAUAUUAAGGUAUUGUUCCAGAAGAACUCUUCAAGUAUGAGGGAAGCCCCUCCCUGCCUACCGGUGGUGCUGAGAGUGCCAGAGGCCAAGAUCCCCUGCCAACCAGUGCAAGUCGGGGAAGAGCCUGCAUGAAGGUAGUAGCUCAAGAGGAAUAGAAAUAAACUGCGAGGAACUGGAGUUGUCUGGUGAUCUUAGCGAGGAGCUUCGAGGCGCAGGAAAGUUUCUUCUGCCCAAGAAAGUUUCUUCUGCAUCAAUAACUUCUCCAGUAACUUCAAGGAUGGCUACUUCUAGAUCCCUGAAUUCCUAACUGCUGAUGAAGGAGAAUCCAAAUUUUAGAUAUCAGAGUAAGAAACUCCCCAGAAACAGCAGAGGGCUGUUCUCAAGGUAUGUUUCUGGGACCAGCAGCAUUAGCCUCACCUGGGAACUUGUUAAAGAUGCAAAUGAUUGAGCCCCCCCUGAAUCAGAAGUGGGAUCCAGGAAUAUGUGUUUUCACAACCAUCCAGGUGGUCCUGAUGUACACUAAAGUUUGAAAACCACUGGCCUAGGAAAAUGAAGGAUAAUCCCAGGUUCUCUACAUUAACCUAGAAUUAAUCUGCAACACCUGCCUAGGGCGAGAGUCUCCCCUCCCCUCCCCCACCCCAACUUUAACCAGUGCUAGAGCUCAGUGGUUAGAGUUAGGUGACUUUCCCAACCAAGGCUAUUGCCUAGUUGCUCAUUAUUUUCCUUGAAAACUCCUAGGAAAAUUUUGGGCAGAUAGCAGAUGAUCAGUAAUGACUGAACUGAAAUUUUAAAACAUUGUUUAUGAUAGGGAAAUUGGAAAUAACUUCAAUGUCUAUUAAUAGGAUUUCGAUUAAAAACAAAUUCUAGGAGGAUUGGGUCCAACACCGACCAAUACUACGUUCACUAUAUUCUUAUUGCCUAACAUAGUAUAAAUAUUUAAUAUUUGUUGAUUGAAUGAAUAAAUAUAUCUUCAUAUAUAUUCAAGUCCUGAAGUACAAUGCAGCAUUAAAAAAAGAUGUUUUCUAAUAGCAAUCCCACUCCUGUGUAUUUACCCAAAAACCUGGAAGUCAAUGUUUAUAGCAACUCUACUCAUAAUUGCCAAAAUUUGGAAACAACUCAAAUGUUCUUCACCUGAUGAGUGGAUCAGGGCGGGACCACAUUUCAGGAAGUAGUUAAAGGUACCUUAUUUUAUGUUACUGUAUGAAUUUUUUUCAAAGAAUUUAUUUAUAUAUUAUGUUAAGAAAUAAACAACAUUUUAAAUACUGGAAGGGUAAACACCCAAAAUGUUAAUAAUAGUUAUCUCUGGUUGAUGGGAUGACAAGUGGUUUUUGUUUUCUUUUGUCUUAUUUCUAGUUUCUAAUUUUUCAGUAUAAACAAGUUAUGCUAUUAUAACUAGAAAAAAAAAACAAGUUACUUUUUAAAAUGGGGAGACCUGGAAGCAUAGCGACUCAUAAAAAAUGUAUACAAAUUAGAAAUGUGUAAAUUAUAAGAAUAUUCAAAACUAAGUUUCACUGAAAAAAGAAUUUGGAUACCACCCUCUAGAAUAGUGCUUCUGAAAGUCCUUACAAAUCACCUGCAGUGCUUGUUGAGAUGCAGAUUCUCAUUCCAAGAAUUUGCAUUUCUAACAAGCUCCCACAUGAUCCCAACGCUCCUGGUCCACGGAGGACUUUGAGUAUCAGGGCUCUAAAACUACUGCUGUCAAGAAAGCAGCCACUAAGCCACAUGUGGCUCUUAAGUAUUUGGAAUGUGGCUAGUCAGAAUUGAGAUGUACAAAUGUAAAAUACACACUGGCUUUUGAAGACUUAACACACACACACAAAGAAUGUAAAACAUCUUAACAAUUAUAUUAAGUAUAUGUUGAAAUGAUUUUUUGAACAUAUGAUGUUAAAGAACCUAUAUCAUUAAAAUUAAUUUCACAUGUUUCUUUUUACCAUUUUAAUGUGGCUACUAGAAAAUUUUAAAUCACAUUUGUGGUUUGCAUUUUUUGGCUUGUAUUAUAUUUUUAUUGGAUAGUACUGAUCUAGAAAAACCAUUAACAGGAUUUUACUUCACUCUGGGUCUUAAAUCACCAAUAUAAUGCAGGAAAAGGAUUAAUACCCCAUUAAUGGCCAAACUGGCAACUUUUGUAUAUACACAUAAACAUUUGUAGGAAUUCUGAAAAUCUAUAGGUAGAGGUUGAGACAAAUACAAAUCAAAAUUUUAGACCAGGUGGGAAAUUUUGAGGUCAUCAAGUUGGAACCCCUUGUCUUGCGAAAUUAUUUAUCAAUUUGACAAAGAUGGAUUCAGUACUUCAUAUCUGUAAAUGCUGAAUAGGUACUGACAUGACAGUUAAGUGACUGCAGUGGGGAGCCUCCCCUGAAGAAGCUAAGGAUGAUAGCAGUGGUCUGUCAGAGGACCCCAGGAGGCAGGUUGAUGGAGGACUCACAGGUUGAUGGAGGCAGAGGCCAACACAGACUCCAUUUUCCUGAGAAGAAUCAGAUGAGCUCCACACAUGAGGGCUUACUGGGCCGGCUCUCAGUUUCCCCAGGUUUUAUAGCUUCUGUUUGGUAUUAACGAUGCAAAUAAGGCUUUAAGAUUAGCUGUUUUUUAAGUAAUCAAUGCAAUGCAAGGCAUGCUGUCCCCUCCUCCCUCACACAAAAGACACUUUUCAGAAAGCAAAGACGCUUAGACCUGAGAAACUUUGAAACUUUGAAACUUUGAACAUGGUUGAUGGCAGCAGAGUGAAAUCUGGAGUUUGGCAGAAGCACCAUCAGCCUUCAAUUAUGUGUGCAAAUGAGGGGCAAGAAGUGCUGAGGUGAUUAAAAUCUAUGAAUAAAUCAAAAAGCUCAUUUUAGUGAUUAUUUUUUAAAUUUAUUUAUCAAGAAUAUCUUGGGCGCCUGGGUGGCUCAGUUGGUUAAGCGACUGCCUUCGGCUCAGGUCAUGAUCCUGGAGUCCCUGGAUCGAGUCCUGCAUCGGGCUCCCUGCUCAGCAGGGAGCCUGCUUCUCCCUCUAACCCUCCCCCCUCUCAUGUACUCUCUCUCUAUCAUUCUCGCUCUCUCAAAUAAAUAAAUAAAUCUUUAAAAAAAAAAAAAGAAUAUCUUUAACACCAGAGACAUCACAACUGAAAUUUGUUCUUAUUGGAGUUACAUUUCCUUUCUGUGAGGGAAUGAAAAGACAAAUUUAGGAUAAAUAAUAAAGCUUUUCAGUGAAUUACGAAAAUUCUUGUUACUCCAAGAGGUAGUAUAGGCUGAAAACAUAAACAACCCUUUACAGUUUUUUUUAGUUAAAAUCUGGGUCUCCCCCCUGCCCUCCUGCCAUAAUGUUUCUACCAUUUAUAAUACAGUAUUAAAGGAAUCCAGGUUGCUUUGGUAUGCAUUCUUAACCUAUCCUUCAUUACAUGCACAGACCCAACGGCCCAUGUGAUCAUGGGUUGGAUCUAAUCUGAACAUUUGUAUUAUUCAUUUUCAACCAAUAUUUUUUAAAUUGCCCAUCUGGAAAAAGUCAAACCUACCUGAGAAUGGCCGGAUGGGCCUUGCCCAAGAGUGAAAAACUGCCUAAAGACAUUCAAAACUAAAACUUGGACUAAGCAGAAUAAAUAGUUCUGUGUAAGAAUUAUAACUGCUUUCCUCUGUCUUUAAGAAUAGUUGGAACAGCAUUUCUAGAACCUUAAAUGUUUGCUAGCAAGCAGUGAGUUUGUUUCAUUGAUUUUGCUUCAUUCAUACCAAAAAGUAGAGUAUACUGACUCUUCAGUUGGCUUUGCAUAUUCCUAAUGAUCUUUUUAAAAUAUUUAUUUAUUUAUUUAUUUUAAGGGGGGCGGGUGUGGAGAGGGGCAGAGGGAGAGAAUCUCAAGCAGACUCCCGGCUGAGCAUGGGGCUCAUUGUGGGCUCCACACAGGCUCAGCGUGGGGCUCAACUGGGAACUCAAUCUCACGACCCAGAGAUCAUGACCUGAGCCGAAACCAAGAGUUAGACACUUAACUGACUGAGCCACCCAGGUGCCCCUAUUCACAACGAUUUUUUAAACAUCUCAUUCCCCAACAUGAGCAGUAAUUAUUUAUAGGAAGUGGCCUAAUUUUUUUUUAAAGAUUUUAUUUAUUUAUUUGACAGAGAGAAUGAGAGAGGGAACACAAGCAGGGGGAGUGGGAGAGGGAGAAGCAGGCCUCCCACGGAGCCCGAUGCGGGGCUCGAUCCCAGGACCCUGGGAUCAUGACCUGGGGCGAAGGCAGAUGCUCAACUACUGAGCCACCCAGGCACCCCAAGAAGUGGCCUAAUUUUUAAAAAUAAUAAUCUGCUAUCCCCUCCACACACAAAAGGAAAACUCAUAAUUUCCCUGUUAAAAAUAUGUCUGUUAUAAAGAUACAUGUCCUUUGGAUCCCCAUGUUGUGGGAUGCGGGCAAUCCCUGUCUUGGAAUAUCCCCUAAUGGAAGGACUAGGGAUGAUGAGACAGUUACAAAAGAUUUAGAUUCUGGAAAAAUAUAUACAUGUAAGUGUAGUCCAAUAAUGUAAUUUAAGUAUGAUUUUUCCCCCCUUCAAAUACAGAGUUUUAGGAGAAUAAGAUGUUUUAGGAGAAUCAACACACUGCUCAUGUCUCAUGAAACUCCAAGAUUGCUUUUCUCUUUUUCUGAGUUGCAUCAAUAGAAGAAAUAUGAAAUGAUAAUUAGUCUUCUUCUCACCUUAUCAUAGGUUUUCUAGAUCUAUAAUUUUGAUGCAUAGUAUAUUUAUGAUACAACUUACACCCUUAUUUAUUUGAGAUGAAUUAUUAGAUGCUAUUUGCAGGCCGUGAAAAAAUCACCACUCAUUUCUUUCUAAGCCUCCGAUAUCAGGUGGUCAUUAGAGAGUUUCACAGCCUUUUUGAAAAAAUUUCUAAUCAUCCAACCCUUUAAACAAGUAUUUUCCCCUCUAUGACAUUAAUUUCUCCUUGAAGUGUUUACUUCAGUUAUAAUUUUAGGGGAAAUGGGAAAUACAAUGAUAAGUGCAUUUACGUUCAUAAUGUGCUGAUUCUCUUUUGAAAGGAGUCUGGUAAUAAAGAAGGAAUUCAAACAAAUGCAAUCUAGUUUCUGCGAAAGUACAAGAAAGCUACAGAUCUGCCAACAUUCCGUUCACAUUGAGCUAUGCAUUUCUGAGGCAGGUCUACCCUUACUAGAGGGCAGAAUUUUCCCUCUCUCUCCAGAGAAUAGGCAUAAUAAAGAUGGAUAGCCAUUGAUAAUUACUUGGCUUCAAAAUGAUGCCUUCUUCAUGUCCAUAGAUUUAGGAGCAAGAUGUUUAGAGAACUGUUCCAAAUGUCUGUUGGGUUGAAAAGACCAACCACGGCAAAUCCAAACUUCAUUUUCUUACUCUCCUAAUCCACUGAUUUAUACCUUCUCCUCAUCUAGCCACCAAUACCUCCUGCCCCACUAUCCUGAUCACCCUUGCUUCCUCUUUCCCUGAGAAGUAGGAGUAAUCGGAAAAGAACUUUCACGGACCACACCGCUGGGUCCACAGUCACCUACCGGCAUCUGUGCCCAUGUUGUCUGCCUGCCUUCCUGUUUCUUGCUCCAAAUGAGACCUUCCCAGCUCCACUUCUCUGUGGCUUGUGCACCAGAUCCCAUCCCUUCCCCUGCUCAAGGAUAGUGAAUCAGCAACUCUCCCCUCUCCCCUGCGUCAUCAUUCCCACCCUCUCUCCUGGAUCACUCCCAUUCAUCUAAAGGACUACCACUUAAGUGGGAACAGUCAUCAGCUCUCUCUUGGAUUCUUGUAGGAGCCUCCUAACUGGCCACCUUCUUUCAGCCUCUGCUCCCCUUUGGUCUGUACUCAUCUCAACAGCCAGCAUGCUUCUGCGGAAAUCCAAGGAGAUCUUAUCACUCCUUUGCUCAAAACCCUCCCCAGGCUUCACACCUCAGGGAGUAUAAAAGCUGGAGUCCUUACAAAGGUGUUGUAAGGUCCUGUUUGGUCCUCCCGGCCCUCCUCCUCCCUUUAUCACUUGCACUCCACCUGCUUCUCCCCCUGGGCUCUUGCUGCACCAGCCACAACAAUGCUAUAUACCACUUGUACCAGAUUCUCACAUAGAUUGUUCCCUUCCUUCCUUUGAUCUUUCCUCUAACAUCACCUUCUCAAUAAGGUCUUUCCUGCCCAUUCUUGGAAAUGAUAACUCCCCCUACCUCCCCUGCUCUAUUUAUUUUUCACUUCUCUUCAUGUGGUGAAAUACUAUGUUUUCACUUAAUUGUUGUUUACAGUCUCUUUGCCCUCACCCCAAGUAAGAUCCAUGAGUGGUUGGGAUUUUUCCCCCUUUUUACCUCCUUCCCAUAUUAUGGGUAUAUUCCCUGAACAUAGUAAAUGCUCAAUAAAUAUCUGUUAAAAGAAUGAAUCUGUCUUUAUGGAAGUGUAACUGGAAAAUAAUGUGGGUGUAGUGUAAGCCCUGAUAGUUGUUUUUUGUUCUUCUUUUUUUGUUGUUUGUUUGUUUUUUAUAAUGCAAAUGCCUGAUUUAAGAUUUGAUUGCAUCCGCUUCAAAGAGGCAUUCACUUCAAAGACGGCUAUUUCCAACAGACACGUUGCCAGCCACACGACUAGAUACAGAGCCAGGCCGCCUCCCUCCGUUGAGGUUCCUUUGUUUUAGAGAUCUUGGUUGAUCUUGAUAACUGACCAUUUGGGCCACUUGUUUUUUCCUAGGCUUUAAAUUCCUGCUUUUACAUUUUAAACUCACCAAUAAAGAGUGAGGUGAAACCUUAGACUCCCAACUUCACCCCCAAUAAAAGCAGAACCCCAGGUCCCUGCACUCACUGUGCUUUCUCUUUCUACCCAUGACCUUGCUGUGUGGCCCCCAGUGUGCCGUGUAGUUUCCAGGUCCUCUUAGUAAUAAAACUUUAUUUUUUUUUUUCAACGUUUCCUGACAGUUAUUGCUGAAGGGCAUCUUGCAAUGAUCAGAACCACAAGGACCACUCUAGCCGCAACACUGGUGAUUGACAGGCUGAGACCAACACACAACUGGCCUUGCAUGAUUGCCCUUGCAAUUAACCGCGGGAAAUGCCUUUACCUGCAACGUGCUUACUAACCACCAAAGUCAGGGGGGUAACACCAUCUGAGAAAGAAGCACGCAAGCUGGGGGUCUGUCGUGCCGCUAUACACUUUCACAUACUGCCUACAGUAUCCAGUGCAAAAGGUCAGGCCUGCCAUAAUAAUCCCACAAUCUCCCCAGAGCAGUGUGAUUAAGGCCAACAAGAUGAUGAGACCGCUAGUUAUAAAGACUUGAAUGGACUAUUAAUGUGCAUAAGGGUCCUCCACACUAAGGAGAGUUAUGCAGGGUGGAUUAGAUUGCAAGGCUGUUGUCACUGCCCAAGGAGGGCACUGGGCUAAAGGCACAGGGAAAAGAUUCCUGUAGGUGAAGAGGAUGGGAGACCUCUGCCUGUUACCACCGAGUCGGUGGGUUGUGCCCAGACUACAUGUCCUAACCCAGAAAAAUGAAAUAGCCUUGCAAAUGGAAGCCAAUGUCACCACAAGAGGGAAAAUACAUCAGAGGCCUACCGUCUCUGUGUCACCACUUCAUUCACUACUGUUGCUCUUUGUCCCCUGACCCAAUGAGAUAUUGUGGGCUUAAUUGCUUGGUGUGGUGUUGCUAAAAAAUUAAUGAACAGAUAUAAAUGUCCUAAACAUCUGGUGCCAGCACCUCCUAAGAACCUUGAGGAGGCACACCAGCUCCUUGAUAACUGCAAAAGCCCAUGGAUGCUUCCUGGUUAUUAUUCAAUGUCAUGUACACCAACAUGCCAAGACUCUGGUUUAUGCCCCAGAGGCCUGGGGACUUUUCCCAACCACCCUGUGCAUAUCACACUACUGAAGGCAGACUCCCAUCCUGGAGAAGUCUCCUGGGACACCUUGGAAAAGAAAGCAGCCACCUAUGAAGAGGGCUGACAGUAAUGUCAUCCCCCAUUUUCUGGUAACAGCACAUAAGAUUAAGGUAACAGGAGAAAAACAAGUAGAAACUGAGAUAAAAAACCUAGUGAAAUUCAAACCUUUCUUAAAAAUUUUAUGCAGUAGGAAGGAGAGAAGAGAGCUAAUUGGCUAUUGUGGAUUUUCUUGUUUGUUUGGAACAGGCUCUAAAUUCCUCACAGUGGCCAAAAUGCAUUAACUGGCCAGCAUCUAAAGACCCUAAAAUCCGUAACUUUCUCAGAGAUCCAUCCGGGCUAUAUGCUCAUUCCUUCCGAGAUACCACAGAUCCUGAGCCCCCUUGGCUUUCCACUGAACGGCUUUCCCCUACCAGCAUGCCUCACGAGGUAUCCCUGCCCCCAUGGGAAGAGCUGACAGGGUUAUCGAGGGCUCUCCUGAGGAGGAAGCGGGAAUUGGGAAGACAAAGGCCCCUAGAGCCACUGAUACUCAUAUCCAAGCCCUCCCUCUCCUCACUUGGAUAUACACUACCUGGCGCUGUACCCAUCCUUCCAUCACAGUGAUCACUGCUAAGGUUCACGGAGGAAGCCCAUCUCCUGCUGCACAAAAUUGUCAUGGUCCAAUGGGUUCAUCAUUUCCAUGACCACAGUGACCCAAAAUACCCCUUCUUCAUUUCUAACCUGAAGAGGCCCCACUUGACCCUGAGAAUUGUUUUUACAGGGCACCCCCUAAUUACAGGGUGGUGUUACUACAUUUUGUGGGGACUGCUGAAGCCAUCCAAAAGGCACUGGAACUCCUAGGAGAAAACUUACAUUCUUUCUCUGUCCCUUGAAGAUGUAAAUCUUACCUUGUCUUGGUAAUGUAAACACCCCAGGAGGUAACUAAAACUCUGCCUGAGGUCAAAGGAAAAAAGGGGCAGAAGUAAGAGGCCUUUUAAAAUAGAAAUUGCUAUGAAAACUCUCUUUUCCAAACUCUAGUCCACAGCCUUCCUAAGAUUGUCAAGGGCAAAUACAAAUCUUAAAAGUCUCCACAAAUAGUAAAAAACUUUAGUCAUUGGAGUGGGUAACCUUAACUUGUUCCUCUGUUAGAAGCAGUUUGGAUUCAACUGUUAUUUAUAAACUAGUGAAUUUUAUAUUGUACCUGACCCAUGGCUAAAAUUUUGAAAUGGAAACUUAUAGGGUCUCUAUCUGCAUCUGCAUAUUUACGUAUGUCUGUGGAUGUAAGUUAUGUAUGUGAUUUUCUUUUUCCUUCUAACUCUGGAUGGAAUUGCCAAAAUUAAUUAGUAAAAGAACUCUAUUGAAUUGGCUUAAAAAUAAGCACUUACGAAUUAUUUCUAAAGCUCAAAAAUAUGGAAACUAACCCAAAUGUUUUUUGAGUUCAUGUGAUCUGGCAUAAUCUUUGGUAAAUAAAAGCUGCUUUCAGUUUGGUUUAAUUGAAAUAGGUAUGUCUUCAGGGUUGUCAGCAUUAAGUAUUAUGCAGAUAACAGCUUUUAUCCUACCUGGGUUUACUAGUCAAAUAAAUUCAUGUUAUCUAUUACAAAAUUUGUCAGCAAGAAAAGUAGCUUGGUAUGAUGACUGACAUCGUCUAGAGUCUAAUGAAGUUUUCAUGGGUGGUCUAAGCCUAGUUGUUGGGAGCAAAUAAUUUCGAUAGAUGUAAGUAGGAUAAGUGAGCUUUUCAGCAAUCAUUAUGUUAUGUCUACUUAAAAAUAGUCUGUCCGCCCUCCCUCUCCCCGCCCCCAAAAUAGUUUCCCAGACCUUUGGUAACUUCCAUCCUUAGAAUUUUGCUAAGUUAAAUUAAAUGAUGGGAAUUCAUUGAAUGUCUUCAUCAUUUCCAAAUAAGAUAAAAAUACUGAAACAUUAAUUGCUAAACAAGUCUAAGUUUACCUACAUUUGACCUUUUACUACAGAGGAAAUAAAGAUAUUUGGGCCUCUUACUAAACAUGUGUUGUGCCACAUUAAAAAAAUACUAUGAGGAAAUGUAUGUUUCUAGAUAUCAUGAAAUGUAUUCAUAAAUUUGCCAAUCUAAACAAUGCUGUGUAACAGUUCACAAUUUCUACUUCUUAGUUUUCGCUAGAAAUUAAGUUUUCUAAGGGUUAAGAAUUCUAAUAUAUAUAAUUAAAACUACUAGAAAUUAUACAGAAAACAAUUCUGUAUGUAAGAAAAGUAGGAUGUGUAGGGUUUUUAAAAUUUUUUAAAGAUUUAAUCUAUUUUUUGAUAGAGAGACAGCGAGAGAGGGAACAUAAGCAGGGGGAGCGGGAGAGGGAGAAACAGGCUUCCCACUGAGCAGGGAGCCUGACAUGGACUCGAUCCCAGGACCCUGGGACCAUGACCUGAGCUGAAGGCAGACGCUUGAUGACUGAGCCACCCAGGCACCCAGAUGUGUAGUGUUUUGUUUUAUUUUGUUUUUUUCCUUUUUUUUUUUCUUUUUUGGUUAGAAAAGGCAUGAGAUAUGGAAAUGCAUUUUUGUUGAGGGAAAUGAAAGUGAUUUUGUUCUAAAAUAAAGCUGGUUAUUUUAGAAUGGGAAAGAAGAAAAUGAAGGACAAACUGUGGACAUAGAAGGCCAGAGGGAGAGAGAUGGAAGGGAAAGAGAGAGAAGGAAUCUUGUGUAGUCAGGGUGGCUAAAAAUUGAAUUCCUAUUACAAGGAUUUUAAAAUUAAGCUUUAAUACCAAUAGCGCACUUAUGUAAAACUAAUUUUUAUCUCAUCUGCCAAAAAGACAGUCUUCUUAGAUUAUUGGUCUGCUCUUAACAAGAAAUCUAAACAAAGGCUUUUCUUUACCUUUUAAGUCAUCAGCUUGGAAAGCAAAGAUUUUGUGUCCUACCCACUGUGCUUCAGUCUGUCUUCAUCACGUCUUUGAUGAUGUAAACCAAGUCUUCUCUAUUAAAAGAGCUAAGUUUUGCCCAGAACGAUGUAAUCUUCUAUAUUUGCUUUUGAAAUCUUGCCUCUUAAAAUGGGUAAUUAAGUAUUGCAUCCAAGCCUUUUUGAUAUUUUGACAAAUCUUAUAAAAUUCAAAUUCUAAAUGAAGUAUUUUUGAUUUCAUACUAACUUGAGACUUUUAGAGAGUCCCUGGAACAUCUCAAAAGAUUUGUUCUCUCUCUCUCUCUCAAAACACUUGUAAUUCUAGUUACUAUCUUAAAAUUUAUGUCACAGAAAUAAUUAAAUUUCUGUUAGUAACAUAAGGAACUCUCAUCAGAUCUUAAACAUGGGCAUUUUUAAGUCUUUUGUCAUUUACAGACACUUACUGUUUUUCUCUGAUGCUUUUGCAAAAGUGGUCCAUCUUCAAGGAGAUUCAUGGAAAGGACUCUGACAAGUAUAGGUUUCUGAUAAUUUUCAGAUCAUACCACUGAACAGGGUAAGAAUUUAUAGGACUCUAAGGAAAAACUGGCCUUUUAAAAUAGAAAUUGCUAUGGAAAGGUCAAGAUUUAAUUACAUAGGACUAAAUGAGAAUGAGUCUAAUUUUAUAGGAUUUUUGUUCAAAACAUUGCUGGUUCUUUAAUCUUUUGUUUUCUAGAUUUAAGGAAACUUUUUUUUUUUUUUUUUUGCUAGCUAGCUAGCUAGCUAUAACUUACAGCAAUUUGGUAAAGUAUCUUUGUGAACAAAGAUGGAACAACUACUUUUUUUCCUCCUACCUGAUCUCUCCAGGAUUCAGAAACUCUUAGUGAGUAUUCUUAUUUUUGUGGCAAUAUAGUUAUUUGCAUAAGCUCAAUGAGAAUCUAUUCUCUUUGUAACAGGACAUACUUGGAAACAUUGGUUGUAUCACCAAGGCUUUGACUGUAUUGUCAUAUUUGAGAGAGAGAUGUAUAGACUCAGAUAUUACAAGACAGCUUUCAGGAACUAAGGUCGAUUUUAUGGAGCCAAUAAAGCCCCUUGGAAAAAUCGGCCUGAUACCUUGCUUGUACUGUUCCCAGCAGCCUUGCAAGGUGAGUAAGGAAGGUCACUUCCUGCUAGGUGCAGGAACCUCAAGAUACUUGGGGGGACCUCAAAAAGAGAGGAAUUAACCCAAAUCAAUAGGUAUUGCAGGCAAAAUCUGAUAAUGAGUCUUUGGUUUGACUUCCUAUCCUUGAGAGGCUUUGAAAGUUCAAUUUGAGAUUCCUUAUGAAAAGUUCCAGGAAAGCCAACCUAGGACCUAAUUGGCCAAUCACUAUUUUUGUUGCACUUAUGUAAAUAAUCAGGACAAGUUUGUUGAAACCAGACUUAAUUUGCAAACAAAUUGGCCUUACUAUGAUUAUCUUUGAUAGAAAUGGGGAUUGUAGAGAGAAAAAUCACAUUUCCGUAGAAAAAUACAUACUCGUGGAUAUUAGGUUCUAUUCCAGUUCUGUUAAUUGUGUUUGAGGUUUUGUUCUCUGUUAGAUCCUGAAUUCUUCUCAUUUCCUCCAAUACUUGGCUACAGCUCUUCAAAGUAACAUUUUCAUUUUUUCUCCCGCCCUUCUGGCUUGGAAUCAUUGAGAACUGCCCUUUCCCCAAAGCCAUGCAAAUUAAAGUGGGACAACUUUAUAUAAACUUAAGAGAAAUACAACAGCUGACGUAUGUACCAUCUUCGUGCCUGUCGCUGUGUGGGCCACUCAGGCAGAUCACCAGAGACAUGCAAACUGCAAACCAGGACCAUCAAUCAAAUCGCCACCGUCUGCCCUUACUCCAUUUGAACAUGCUUUAAGCCUGACAUCUAGGAAUCUCAACUGGCUACCCUCAGAACGCAGAAACUGGGAUUAUCAUCUAUUCUAAUCAUUAACCUUUCUUUUCUCUUGUUCCCAGAGAAAUGAAAUUUCUGUGAGAUUAAAGUUCUCACCUAAUUUGGGAACAUUUCAACCUUUAUUUCUUCAGAUAUUUUUUUCUGCCAUAUACUCUUUCUCUCUUCUGAAUCAUACUCCUUGAUAUUGUCCCUCAGUGAGGCUCUGUCCUUUUUUACAUUUCUCCUCUGUGCUUCAGGUUGUAAAAUUCCCAUUGCCCAUCUUUCAGGUUCACUGAUCUUCUGCAGCAUAUAAUCUGCUGCUGUUAAGCCCAUCCACUGAAAUUUAAAAUUUUGAUUUUAGAUAAUGUAUUUUCAGCUCCAAAAGUUAUAAAUAGUACUUUUUAAAAAUUCUUUUACUGUCUCUAUUGAGAUACUGUAUUUGUUUCCAAAUUAUUUCAUGCGUUCCAUUACAUCCUUAACCAUAUUUAUAAGAACUAUUUUAAAGUCCUUUUCUAUUAAUUCUGCCAUCUCUGUCAAUUCUGAGUCUGCUUCUAUUGACUGAUUUUAUCCUGCUUAUGAGUUACAUUCCCUUGCUUCUUUGCCUGUCUUAUAAUUUUUUAUUGGUGCUGGACACUGUGUUUACCAUGCUGUUGAAUUUCUAGAUUUUUUUGUCUUCUUUUCACAAGCAUGUUGUUUCAUCAGGCAGUUAAUUUACUUGCACAUCAGCUUGAUCCUUUCAAGUCAUGUUUUAAAGCUUUGUUAAGAUGGUUCUGUAGUAGAAGUAGAUGACAUUUCUCUUUAAAGGGCCAGAUUGUAAGUAUUUUAGGCUCUACAGGCUAUAUACAGUCUCUUACAAAUUCUUGGGUUUUGUUUUUGUUUUUGUUUUUACAUCCCUUUAAAAAUGUAAAAAAAAAAAAAUUCUUUGCUCAAAAGUUACACAAAACCAGGCUAUGGGGUGGAUUUAGCUUGUGGGCUGGACAGCCUUUCUGAGGUCUCUAUUAAAUGCCUGCUGUCAGGUCAGGGGCUAUUCAGUAUCUGAGAUUUUACCCUACUGGCAAGCCUGUGAUGGAUGUCUAGAUGCUGGCAGAAGACACGAGACGCCUAGGUCAGAGAACGAAGGACUUUAUUACUUGCCGCAGGCAGCAUGAACUCCAUGUUCUCAUUGGUUUCCCUUGUCCCCCAAACCUCAUGGAGGCAAAUGCAGAGUGGAUCCAAGUGGAUGUUACACUCACAGUGAGUCUGAAUCAUAGCUGAGGAAUCCUGAACUUAGAAAAUCUCUCAUUUUAUAAGAUAACUGCUAUCAAAUCUGCCCCAACUUUGCCCAGGAAGGAGGCAUUUUUUAUUAUCUUGGUCAGGAAACAAAUUUACCCUUUCUCCUGGAAGGCAACACUAUACCUGCCAAAGGCUACUGACUAUACAAACAUCCUUGGAAAGAUAGUCAAGGACAAAAGUUGUCACAAGAUAUGGAGACACGUCAUAGAAUGUUGUCUCCUAGCACCCCCCAUGUUUAAGAGGACUCUGUCCUGGUUAGAGUUCAAAUGCUUCCAUUUGUGAAAGCGUUGCCCAAGUCUCAGAUCCCCAGUAAUUCUUUCCCCAAGAGUUGUUCCUCUCCCAGGAGUUGUUUUGCCUGGCUUUAAGGGGUCCUCCCUAUGCUUAUGCAUCUUAAUAUUCAAACAAACAUUCAAGAUGACCCUUAUACAGAUUUCUGGAGCUCUGUCUCUGCACAUCUUUCUCCUCUCUGAUACCCUGUUACUCAAAUUGUAGUUACCUUCCUGAGUUCCACUCACUCUUUUUUUUGUUUUUUAAGAUUUAUUUAUUUAUUUAUUUGAGAGAGAGAGUGCACACACACAGGGAAGGGAUGGGGCAGAGGGAGAAAGAGAGAAUCCCAAGCAGACUCCUGGCAGAGCAGGGAGCCUGAUGCAGGGCUCUACCCCACGACCCCCAGAUCAUGACCCAAGCCAUUUGCUCUUAAACACAGCAAAACCACUGUGCUGUGCUUGAGUUCUGCCUUUCUGUUUGUCAAUCCACAGAGAGCCUCCAGGCAGACAACUGGGGCACUUGAGGAACUCAUUUGUUUUGUUCCUCCCAGGGAUUACAGCCUCUUAGUGCUUGUUGUUCAAUUUCUGAAAAUGGUUGUUUUAUAUAUUUUAUCUAUUUUUAUAACUUUUUAGAGCAGGAACACUGGUCCGGUGUCACUUACUCCAUCAUUGCCCAGCUGUCUUUUUUACCAUUAACCUUAUAUGUUUUGGAAUUUGGACUUGCACAAUCACUUUGAGUGGGAGAUAUUUCUGUUAUCCUUUCCUACCCCAUCUCCAACUUGAUGAGUAUUUCCACCUGAGCUUAUCUCCACUGCACGCUCCAGUCUAGAACCAGAUAGUAAAAUGACUUGAGAGGCCAUUAAUGCUCCUGAUCCAUGUCAUUAAUAUGGCUCAUCUAGUGUCUAAACCAGCUGGUAUCUCAGUUCAUUUGCUGCAGUAUUGUUUGUCUUUCGUCCUUUGCUUUCCUGUUCUGGGUCCACUGCUUCCCAUAAAUCCACUGGCAACCAGCCAGUAUAUUGGCAGUAGGUUUAUUCCAUUUCCUUCCAUGGGGCGAGGGAAAGUUGGGUGACCCAUCAUCGCUGUUUGCCCAGAACCACGGGAUUUCCUGGGAUUUGGGAUUUUCUGGGCUAAAACAGGGAGAGUCCAGGGAAAACCAGGAUGGUUGGUCUGCUCCAGGUCCUGGCUUUUGGUAACAUCGCUGGUUUUGGUCUCCAUCUUGAGUAGAGCAUUUUAGCCCCAGUAUUCCACCAGAGCUGGAUUUCCACUUGCCCCUAGCUGCUUUAACACUCGGAGCUUGAUAGGCUGCAGCAUUUGCCCAGCUCACUGCUUUGCAUUUCUGUUGCAUUUCUGGUCCACAAAGAUGUUUAUCUUGUUUUCUGAGCCCAGCAAUGACCUUUUGGUUUUCUCUUUUUCUAUUGUAUCUGUCAUUAUUGUGUGUUUAGAGCAUACAGGAUGAAUUGAAGCGUGAAUUUACUGUGCCACCUUGACUAGAAAUUCUGCUGAUUCUUUUUCAAUUUGAUAUUGUCUCAGUUUACGAAAUUAUGUAAUUUAACAGCCUGCUUGAUUUAGAAGCCCUCACAGCCCUUUCAGUCAUUUUGAGGGAUCCCAAAUCACAGAAAUUCAAGUGAAAUGCAGUCAUUGUCCAUAUAGUGGUUCUACUCUUUUUUUUGAGGGCAUCAUAACUCAGCAUUUGAGUUAGAAAAGAACAAAAAGGAAUCGGAUUCUAGCUGCUCCAUCCUACAUCUUCUGCUUGAUAAAAAUGGUAUCAGGCAGUGCUUUACCAUCAUCUUUACCUCCACUUCUAGUUGCUCUCUUUUUCUUAUUUCUCCAUUCCUGAAGGGGCAGAGGAAGAAAGUCAAAGGGAGGCCAGGGCAAUGGUUGCCAACCUCUUUGAAAAUGAAGGGUCUUUCUCCCUUCCCCCGGUCUAAUAAGUUCUUUUUUUUUUUUUAAUUGAAGUAUAGCUGACACAUAAUGUUACAUUAGUUUCAGGUAUACAACACAGUGAUUCAACAAGUUUAUGUUAUGCUGAGCUCCCCACAAGUCCAGCUACCACCUGUCACCAUACAAUGCUAUUGCAGUACCAUUGACUAUAUUCCCUAGGCUGUACUUUUUUUUUUAAGAUUUUAUUUUAUUUGACAGAGAGAGACACAGUGAGAGAGGGAGCAGGAGAGGGAGAAGCAGGCUCCCUGCCGAGCAGGGAGCCCGAUGCGGGGCUCGAUCCUAGGAUCCUGGGAUCAUGACCUCAGCCAAAGGCAGAUGCUUAACGACUGAGCCACCCAGGCGCCCCUCCUAGGCUGUACCUUUUAUCCCCAUGACUUACUCUUUCCAUAAUUGGAAGCCUGUAUCUCCCACUCCCCUUCACCCAUUUUGCCCAUUCCCCUACCUUCUCCCCUUUGGCAACCAUCAGUUUGUUCUCUGUAUUUAUGGGUCUGAUUCUGCUUUUUGUUUGUUUAUUUGUUUUGUUUUUUUACAUUCCACAUUUAAGUGAAAUCAUAUCGUAUUUGUUUUUCUCUGUCUGACUUAUUUCACUUAGGAUAAUACCUUCUAGGUCCAGCCAUGUUGUUGCAAAUUCAAAAACAAGAUCUCAUCCUUUUUAUGGCUGAGUAAUAUUCCAUUAUAUAUAUAAUAUAACAUAUAUGUUAUCCAUUCAUCUAUCAACACUUGGGUCACUUCCAUAUCUUGGCUUUUAUAAAUAAUGCUGCAUAAUCAUAGGGAUGCAUGUUUCUUUUUGAAUUAGUGUUUUCAUUUUCUUUGAGUUAAUAGCCAGUAGUGGAAUUAUUGGAUCUUGGGUAGUUCUAUUUUUAAUAUUUUGAGGAACCUCCAUACUGUUUUCCACAGUGGCUGCAUCAAUUUACAUUCCCACCAGCAGUGCACGAAGGUUCCUUUUUCUCCACAUCCCUGCCAACACUUAUUUCUUUUCUUCUUGAUUCUAGACAUUCUGAUAGGUGUAAGGUGAUAUAUGAGGUUCUUUUUUCUGAAACCUCAGUCUGUUUUUGGAGAACACCAGGAUUUUCAGAUUCUCUGUAAUAACUUUGGAGCCCUCCCAAAGAGUUACUACUCAUGAAAUUAGGCAAAAGGAACCAUUUUUUUUUUCAGUAUAAAUAUUUCAAUUUAUACGGCAAGGCUUUUACACUGACAUUAAAAGAGUGAAGAACCACGGAGCGCCCGAGUGGCUCAGUUGGUUAAGCAUCUGACUCUUGAUUUGGGCUCAGCUCAUGAUCUCAGGGUCAUAAGAUUGAGCCCUGCACUGGGCUCUGCGCUCAGCAGGGAGUCUGCUUGAGAUUCCCUCUCUCCCUCUUCCUCUGCCCCUUGCCUCACUCACACACACUCUCUCUCUGUGAAAUAAAUAAAUCUUAAAAAAAAAAAAAAAAGCAAAGAGCCAGAAGAGAAAAGCAUUUUAGUUAUUUAAACUAAAUUUUUUAUGGAAUUCAAAGUUUUAUAUAGAGAGAAAAUUACAAGCUAUACAAUGUUUUUGGAAAAUAAGCUUCCAUAUUUGUUUGCCUCAAACUAUAGUUUAUCUGUAUUCUUUUAGAUUUUUUAAAAACAAUUUUCAGUUUUUUGUUCUUCCAUUCUAUUAAAAAUAACAAUUCAAUUUGUCUUGCAGAUUUGUAGUGAACAUUUAAAAUAUUUUUACUGGAUUAAUGAGUUUUUGAAAAUAAGGGUUUUGCAUUUUAAACCCAAGUAUCUAAAUUUUUAUGCAAACCAGGAUGCCUGGUUGGCUCAGUCCAAAGAGCAUGCCACUCUUGAUCUCAGGGUUGUGAGUUCAAGCCCCACAUUUGGUGUAGAGAUUACUUAGAUAAAUAAAUAAACUUAAAAAAUAUUAUGCAAAGCAAGCUUCUGCCAUAGUAUAAAACUAAUGAAGUGGCAAAAAUAUUACCUAGGGCAAAGUAGUUCACACUAACCAUUUUAGCUCUAUGUAGAAAAAUAUUCUCAUCACUUAGCUUUGGUCUUCUGCUCUUAUUUUUAUUUUUUCUUAAGUUUAUUUAGUUAUUUUUAGUAAUCUCUACACCCAUCAUGGAACUCGAACUCACAACCCUGAGAUCAAGAGUCUCCUGCUCUUGCUCCUGAAUGGCAUGGUAUCACCUUCUUUAAGAACCAGUCUAUUUUUAACAAAAGUAAAGUAAAUAUGUGCUUACAUAUAACUCAGUAAAUAACUGCUCACAUGAUGGAAUUACAUAUUUUCUGGGAGGUGAUUUAGUAAAACCUAAAUGAUUCAAGAAAUUACCUUAUUGUUUUAUCUGUUUCUUUGUUAGAGAAAUUAGUUGGAAAAACACCUUGUUUGGGUGUUUAAAAAUAUCUCCAUUGGUAGCUGAUGUGUGAUUACUGACUUGCAGUAUGGGCAAGUUACAAAAUGAAAUGAAGAGCUAUCAUUUAGCGACUGAGAACACACUUUGCUUAUUUAACUAGGACUAAGUACUGCUGGAGCAAGUUCAGUGCUAAAAUUAGACAUUGGGGUUGAUCCAAUAGCAGUGCAAGUUCUAAUCCUUUAGAAAUCAUAGUCUGUUGGUUCAAAUCAGGACACUGCAAUGUGAGAAUAUAAUCACUUAUGCCAUGUUCUUAUGAGGCCAUUAUGUGCUGGCUGUCUCCAUUACAGCACAGUAGAGUUACCAAAGCUAGAACUGGUAGCAGGAGUACCUACCUGCAGGUUGGGUUUUAUUUAUUUUUUUCUUUUUUGUUUUUCUUUGAUAUAUGAGAAGAGCCUUUGAGAAUGAUAUCUAAUUUCCUAUUGCUCUGGCCCCAUGACCCCUCACAAAUAAAACAUAUAUAUAUAUAUAUAUAUAUACUGGAAAGCACGUAUUAGGUGAGGACAGCAUACUAGAACCUAGAGGUUGUAGAAAAUUAAUGGGAAAGAUAAUUGAUAAGAGUGGGAAGAGAAUGGGUCUUGGAGUCAGAUAUAUCUUCCUAUGAAUCCCAUCUCCACCCUACUCUCUAUAACCUUGGAGAAAUCACUUAAUUUCUAAGGGCCUCUUAGCUUUCUUAUCGGAUUUAAAUACACACACACACACCCACCCAAAGCAGAAAUUGCCAGAUCCUGAGAAAAUGUCUCCCCUGUUCCCCUACCACCGUUAUUAAGAGAAUUUAAAUAGAUAGCUAGAUAGAGUUUUAUUAGCUUAGCAUUUCUUUCUUUUUUUUUUUUAAAAGAUUUUAUUUGUUUAUUUGACAGAGAGAGACACAGUGAGAGCAGGAACCCAAGCAGGGGGAGCGGGAGAGGGAGAAGCAGGCUUCCCGCUGAGCAGGGAGCCCGAUGCGGGGCUCGAUCCCAGGACCCUGGGAUCAUGACCCGAGCCGAAGGCAGACGCUUAACGACUGAGCCACCCAGGCACUCCUAGCUUAGCAUUUCUUAUGUGCCAGGCAUUGUGCUACACGUUCUCUCAUUUACUCUUACAUGCCCAUGAAGUCCCGGAGCUCAUAUAGUCCUUACAUAUGUCUCUAGAUUUCUUGCCUACAGGUAUGUGGCCAGAAAGUGGCAGAACCAGGAAUAGAGUCCAGUGCUCUUAACCACUAUAUUUCAGCCUCACAAAAAUCAAAACCUCUUAGAGAUAGCCUACCAAUUUCGAUUGUAAUGACCAUUAGUUUCUCACCAUAUUUAAUAUUUUUUAAACAAAUUUACUUUUGAUGCAUGUAUUAGUUUGUUAGGGCUCCCAUAACAAAAUACCACAGACUGAGUGGCUUAAACAACAGAAGAUUAUUUUCUCACAGUUCCGGAGACUGGAAGUCUGAGAUCAAGGUGUUGGCAGGUUGGGUUUCUUCUGAGGCCUCUCUCCUUGGCUUGCAGAUGGCCUUCUUCUUUCUGUGUCCUCACAUGGUCAUCCCUCUCUCUCUGUUGUUUGUGUCCUUAUCUGCAUUUCUUAUGAGGACUCUAGUCAUUUUGGAUUAAUGACCCCAUUUUAACUUAAUUACCUCUUUAAAGGCCCUAUCUCCAAACACAGUCACAUUUUGAGAUCCUGAGGGGUUGGGCUUCAACACAUGAAUUUGAGAAGACACAAUUCAGCCCAUAAUGAUGCAUUUGUAGCAUAAACCAUGUGAUACCGAAUAAAAAAGAAAAUAACCCCUCUAUAGUGUUGACUGUGUGUCCAACACUGUGUAAAACAUUGCAUGCAUUCAUUUAAUCCAUAUGAGCUAGGUACUAUUCUUAUCCCUAUUUGUUACUGAGAGGUUAAGUAGUGGGUCCAGAGUCACAUAGGUAGUAAGUGGUAGGACAGGAUUUGAAUCCACACAGUACAGACUCUGUACUCAUCCACUAUAUUCUACUGCCCCUCUCAACAAGAAGCAUCCCAUUUGGAACAAAGAAACAGAAAACACAGUAAUCUCUAUCUGAGGUAAAAUUAUAAUUAACUUCAAAAGUCUGUAUAUGUUUAAUUAGCGAUUACGAGGCUGUCGUAUAUGAAAAAUAAUGAAGCAGCUUUCAUUUAUUCUUUUGUUAUGGCACAAGUAAUAAAACAGUCACUUAGAAAAUGGCUAAGAAAAUUCUUUCUAGCAUUCUACUCUAUGUAAUGAAGAGUUAGUUAAUACAAAGUAUUUUUUUCUAAAUCUUCAAAAGCAAAUAGUAGGUACAAUGAAGUAUCAAUAUCUGAAGACCUAGGACACAUAUGCCUCACUUCUGGUUUUUCUCCUAAGGGGAUAUAGUUCCUGCUUUAGCCCAUUUUACUGAAGCAAAAAAAAGGAGCUGAUUUCCAUAACUGGAGAUGUUGGGUUCAGAGAGAGCAAAACACUUGUUCCAGCCACUGAACUAAGUCCACAGAAGGCAAGAACUUGGAGCCAGAGGUGACUAGGAAAAGAAAUUGUAAACUACUCCCAUCCCCUUCCAGAAUCCCCAACAGGAAGGAAUGUAGGGCUCCCACCACACAAAGGAAUGGGAUUUGAGCCAAUUUAGUUGAAUCUCAAAGGACAGCAUUCCUCAGCUCACAUCUGGUUUAAACCCAAGUAAGAAAAAGAAUAGAUCUGAGGUUAGGAAACGCUGCUAUGGUGCUUGCUUUACCAGUCAUUUUAGUAUGUCAACAGAUGCUUACAGUUUGGCAACUGGCAGGAUUUCCAAAGAUGAGUUAAUGCAAGUUUACAGAGCCCUUACGGUCACAUUCUAAGUUGGACAUAAUCAAAUAUGAACAUGAAUAGUGGAGAUACAGUGGUAACUGUAUGGGAUUGUAGAGGCCACUGCUGACUGAAGUUAUCAAGGCAAACUCAAUGGAGAAAAGGUGGGUUUGAUAUGGACCUUGAGAGAUAGGAUUUGCUGAGUGGGGCGUAGUGAAGGCAUUUUCGCCUGAAGAUUCCACAGCAGCUGGGGGCAUGAAGGCAGGAAUGAGGGAAGCAUGUGGGAACAAUGAAGAGACAUCCUCUCUGGAACAGACAGAGUUGGGAGGGAGUAACGGGACAGACUUGAGGAUCAGACAGGGGCUCAGAUUAGGACUAUGGCUUCAUGCUGGAGAUCAGCAUUAUUAUUCUGUUAGCUGAACUGCUCAUCGAAGUUACCUCAUUUCUCUAAACAUGUUUAUAGGAACCCAUCUCAACAGAACUAAGUGCUUUGCAUUUAGUAGCAUGUUUGUUUUCUUUGAGGCUGCUCAGACCAGAACAGACUCGGAGGACCGCUCUCCAUUCCUGAGUCACGUCAGGCCUACUUGAGCUGGGAAAUCAGGCAGCUGUUGGCCCUCGGCCUCCAUAGACUCAGGCCUGGCUAGAGACCCUGGAGUAAGCUUUCGUAGUUCUAAGUGCCUGACUGACUGGGGUUGGGAGGAGAGCACCCUGCCUGCGAGGGCAGAUAACCUGAGAAAUGGCUUCGCCUUCUGGAAUCAGUGACAUACUCACUCUCUGUCUGCAUGUCAUAAACCCUAUGAGGGAAGAGCUCUAUAGAAUUUUGAGGCCCUCCCUCCCCCCGCCACCCCUCAGGCCAUCUUGCAGUAGUAGAAAGAAGUUUUGGUGUUCACAGACCUUUAUUUGACUUCUGACCCUCUUGUGUGACUUUAAUUACUAAACUUUAUGGGACUUUUAUUUUUUAAUCUGUAAAACAGCCCAGUAACUAAGCAGUUACUAUUAACUCUCUUCCUCCUCUUUUGUGACUUCUCUCCGUCCCUGACAUUUUUGAGGAAUGUCUUUUUGUGAUUGUGAGUUCUGCUGUCAAGAAGGUGAAAACCCUGUCGUUUAGGAGGCCUGUGGAUCCUGAAGAAAACAUGGGGAUGGAUGGAGUUGGCCUGCCCCUGACCUCUCUGUCCACAACUGUGUGUUUAUUUCCUGAGGAUAGGAUUUCAAGUCAACCACAGCCAGUCCUUCAGAUAGUCCAAAGGGUCCAGAGUUCUUGGAAAUCAUCUCAGAGUAGGGGGAUCAACCACCCUUAUUUGAGUUUAAAACAAGAAAUAAUGGCUUAAGGCCAUUUUGUGCCCUAAAGCAUAUAAAAAUUAAGGUUACAUGUGACAAAGCAUUUUAUGAGUUCAGAAACAGCUGCGCAAGGCCAUAAACUAUCAUAUUACAAAACUGCUACCAUUUCUAAUGUUCAAGGCUCCAACUACAAGUUUGUCCUUAGAAAUUGCAGCGUAAUUUGCGUGUACCCAAUUGUGCUUGCACUAAGAAGCACAGAGUUUGCUGGUUAAUAUUUUGCCUAUAUCUGAAUCCUGAAAAUAACUACCUCAUAGCGCAGAACAGAGUGCGCGUUGUGAAGAAUAUAUUCCAGUUGGUUAGCAAUGGAAGGUACAUUUUUCCUAUGCCCUCUUGCCUUUCAUUUCUAAACACAUUUGCCUCUCUCCUGAAGCAGAGGAGACUAUGAGAGCAGCUGCAGCAAGCAGCUGUAGAAUCUUCUGGGUCACCUGCUCCCCUGCUUUGCAGACUGUCCCGUCCUCUGCUCCCAGCUGUCCUUUUCAUCCUUUCAAAAUGGCCCACGGCCCUCUUCUGCCCAGUGCCCCACCUGAGUUCUGGCUCUCUCCCUCCACUGAUUUCAGGGGAUUUGGCCUGGUGUCCCCUUGCUUUUAUCAUUCUUGAUGGUAAAAGAAAUCACUAAUCAAAACAUUUUUGUCAUAUGAAGAACAACUGGAGGGAAAAAACAAAGUCUAUCGGUGCUUGCUGCAGCCCUUGCAAGUUCUGCUUGUCAUUUUUGGUGGAGUUCUUUCCCAUGUGCUGCCAUAUCAGUGUAUGUAAAGCUAUAAUUUUACAUUUGCAUGCAGAGGCCAGAUGAUGAUGACUCUUUGAGGAGAGGCCCUCCGCAGGAUUACCUUGGGAAAAAUGAUUUAUUCAUCCCAUGCAUAGGAAACAGCUACACCAGAGGCCGUUCCCUGUAACUUUGCACGGAGUGCUUAGGGACCUCUCAGCCCCUGCCAGCAUUUCUCUCAGGGCAUAAUAAACUGAUCUAACCGGCAGCUACGGAACUUCUGUUUUUUCCAUGUAUAGUUGAGCCGAAGCUUCUCUCUAAGGUAGACUAUGGGAGCUAGUGCAGGACAAGUUCCUUUGCAGAAUAUGUUAAAGUCAUUUCUGUUCCCCGGCUUAUAGGGAAGAGCCAACUCAUUUUGGCUGGUCCUUUUAAUGUUGUUUGAUUUCGAACACUUAGAAAAUGGGCUUGCCUUCCUUUUUCUCUUUUUGAAAAAGCUAUUAUGUUGUUUUAAAACAUACUAAUUUUAGACCUCGGGUAAUACCUGAUCCAAAUACUAAGUUAAAACAAAAUAUUUUUAAUAUAGUUGAUUUAUAACACAUUACACACACCAAGCAUAGAAAGCAGGUAAAAACAAAUUAUAUGUUUUACUUUACUAUGUUAGCAAUAGAGUAGUCUGCCUUGGAAAACAAUAUAAAUCAUCUUUUACCACUGCUCUUGAAAGUAAUUCGGGGUUAACAGAAUCUAAAUUGCACCUGUCAGAACUGCCAGUAAUAUCUUCAGUUUUCACUGACUAUACUCUCCCUUCUCUCUCCAUAACUAAUGGAGCAGUGGCACAGUUUCCGCAAAGAAAAACAAAGGUGGAAGAAAGGAAAGGAAGACUUUAUAAAGUUUCCUUUGGGUAUGUAAGGGGGUGGACCCUAGCAUAUAAGUACACCGGCAAAGUAUACCUACAAUAGGGCAGUACUGUGCACCAGACCGGGUAGGUCGGUGUGGUAUGUGCCAGAACAGGCCCAAAGCCCCGUUUCUCACAUAAAUAGAGCAGUUUCUACCUAGCAGUAAAUAUAUUACUGCUUUAUGCCGGGGCGGGGGGGGAGGGGCGGUGGACCCCGGCUAAAUCUUAAAUAUCACAGCACACAAUAAGUGUUUCUUUUUUUUUAUUUUAUUUAUUUAUUCAUGAGAGAGAGGCAGAGGGAGAAGCAGGCUCCCAAGGAGCAGGGAGCCCGAUGCGGGACUCGAUCCCAGGACCCUGAGAUCAUGACCUGAGCCGAAGGCAGACGCUUAACCAUCUGAGCCACCCAGGCGCCCACAAUAAGUGUUUCUUUGCUUAGAAAUGUAAAAAGAAUGUGCUUGCAAAUGUUAAUUAACUAAAACUGAGAGUAAAUACUUUGUGAAGAAUAGAUAAGAAGCUAGAACAAUUAAACCUCAGUUGGCGAGGGCCAACUGUGAAAAUACAGAAACUCUGAGCUGGAAGGAUUUGAUUAGACCUCUAUAAAUAAAAUCCUACAUCCCCUUUGUAACAUCCCAGUGAAGUGGUCAUUCUGCCCUUGUUUUAAAUACUGUAGGUGUAGAGAUAGCCAUUACUUCGGAGUGCAUCCAACCUCAAGUUCUUACUUAGGGAAAUAUACUUAAUCUGUACCUAUACAUUCAUUUGAAUCUGAUUCUUCCCCUUCACCCCACACAGCAUAGAUCUAAUCCUGCUACCACCCUUCAAAUAUCUGAAGACCAUCACCGUGACUUGUAACUGUUCUUUAACUGAGCCAUCACUAACCAAGACUUGUCUCCUAAACCCGUCAUAGCAGAAGCUGUAUCCAUCCACACCACUCAGCAGCUGAAAGAGCCUCAUCCCUAAAGCAGAUCGGUGCUGGUGCUUCUCAGUUGAUGGGCCUGUGCUGUGGUUGUGUUGAUGAGUUACUGCUGAAGACACUGGAGCCAGACAGGGGAGGUCCUAAGCCUAGAAAGCCCAGGAAGAGCCCUGAGUCCUAACUGAGUUGGCACAGGCCCUGUAAUGUUUCACCUUUGCCAAAAGCCAAACACAAAGACUAGUAAUUCAUGUCAUUGACAUUCAACCAAGCCUUUAAUUUGGAGGUUAGGGCCUUGAGCCCCAGCUCUGCCACUGGCCAGUUGCAUGCCCUUGGGCAAUCCUCCCCACCAUUUCAGAGCUCCCCCUCUGGUAUUUAAAGUCCUAUGCUGCUUUUCUGCCUAGAAAGGUGCCCCUUCUCCUGGCCUUAGGUCUGAUGUCAUUUCUCCAGGAACCCUGGCCCGACUCCCACCCCUUCCCUACCCUGAGACUAACUAAGCCUCUGUCUGCCUUUGUACCCUCUGCUCACCUCUAUGGUAGCACUUUCUUCGUUGUGUGUUAAUAACCUGCUUACUUGUGCCUACAGUACUGGAAAUUCUUUAAGACUAAGGACUCAGCCUUGGUUCCCAGCACUUGGUUCCCAGCACUUGGUUCAGUGCCUGGUGCAACAGCAGACCUCAGAAAAUAUUUCUUGAGUUUUAAAAAAAGAAGAGAGGAAAGAGAAGACAGAGAGGACGAAGAUAAAAGGAGCAAGUUGGAGUACAUUAUCUAAAUAGCCUCGUACAGCUAAAAAUCUAUAAUUUCUGGUUCUCGAAUUCCAUCCUUAAUGUCAACCCCGGGUUUUUAGAAAUUCAGAUUUGCUCUAGUAAGGGGAUGUUUCAAGUGGUUACACCAAAUUAGAAAAACUAUAAAUAUAUACUCAUACAUAUAAUACAACUUUAGGACUGAUAUUUAGAACUCAUUUAGUGAGCCCAGACCUUCUUUUAUAGGUGAGGAAACUGAGGCACAACGAAAUUAAGUUCUCUGCCUAAACCCACCUGGUUAGUGGGGAGACCAGAUUUCAAAUCCUGAUCUCUCUUGCCCCUGAACCAGGAUAGCUGGUCCCUCAACUUCU